GGACCGCGACCCAGUGUGGGGCUACCCGCCUUUUUAAGCAUAUAAAUAAGCGGAGGAGAAGAAACUUACAAGGAUUCCCCUUAGUAACAUCGAAGCGAACGGGAUCAGCCCAGCUUGAGAAUCAGGGCGCUGCGUCGCCUGAAUUGUAGUCCGGAGAAGCGCCCUCAGCGAUGGACCGGGCCCAAGUCCCUAGAAAGGGGCGCCGGGAGGGUGAGAGCCCCGUCCCCGCUCGGAACCUGUCGCACCACGAGGGCUAUUGUCGAUGAGUCGGGUUGUUUGGGAAUGCAGCCCCAAUCGGGCGGUAAAUUCCGGCCCAAGGCUAAAUAUGGGAAGAGACCGAUAUCGAACAAGUACCGCGAGGGAAAGAUGAAAAGGACUUUGAAAAGAGAGUCAAAGAGUGCUUGAAAUUGCCGAGGGAAGCGGAUGGGGCCGGCGAUGCACCUCGGUCGAUGCUGAACGGCGGUUAGCCGGUCCACCGCUUCGGCUUUGGUGCGGAUCGAUGCGGGCUGCAUCGACGCCAAGCCCGGAUGGAUCGUUCGUUCGAGGGGAUACCGCCGAUGCGGUCGAGGACAUGAUGCGCGCCAUCGGGCGCCCCUGGGUACACGCGGCGACCAGGCAUCGGCCAGUGGGCUCCCCAUCCGACCAAUCUUGAAACACGGACCAAGGAGUCCGAUUACGCGGCGAAGUCAACGGGUGCGGAAACCCGGAAGGCACAAAGGAAGCUAACGGCAGGAACCCUCUCGAGGGGUUGCACCGCCGGCCGACCCCGAUCUUCUGCAGGAAGGGUUUGAGUUGGAGCAUGCAUAUCGGGACCCAAAGAUGGUGAACUAUGCCCGAAGGAGGCGGCCGAGGAAACUCUGGUGGAGGCCCGAAGCGAUCUUGACGACGGCAAAUCGUUCGUGGUGAUUGGGGUAUAGGGGCGAAGACUAAUCGAACCAUCUAGUAGCUGGUUCCCUCCAAGUUUCCUCAGGAUAUUUGGAGCCCACGCAUGAAGUUCUAUUGGGUAAAGCCAAUGAUUAGAGGCAUCGGGGGGCAACGCCUCGACCUAUUCUCAAACUUUAAAUAGGUAGGACGGUGCGCUGCUUGCCGUUGAGCCACGUCGCAGAAUCGAGAGCUCCAAGUGGGCCAUUUUGGUAAGCGAAUCGGCGAUGCGGGAUGAACCGAAGCCGGGUUACGGUGCCCAAUCGCGCUAACCCUGACACCACAAAGGGUGUUGGUCGAUUAAGACAAAGACAGGACGGUGGUCAUGGAAGUUGAAAUCCACUAAGGAGUGUGUAACAACUCACCCGCCGAAUCAACUAGCCCCGAAAAUGGAUGGCGCUGAAGCUGCGACCCCACACCCGCCAUCGGGCGAGCCAAGCCCCGAUGAGUAAGAGGGGCGCGCUGUCGCUGCAAAACCCAGGGCGAGCCCGGCGGAGCGGCGGUGCAGAUCUUGGUGGUAGUAGCAAAUAUUCAAAUGAAAACUUUGAAGGCCGAAGAGGGGAAAGGUUCCAUGUGAACGGCACUUUGCACAUGGGUUAGCCGAUCCUAAGGGGACGGGGAAGCCCGUCGAGAGAGCGUUCUCGCCGAGCUCAAAGGGAAUCGGGUUAAAAUUCCGAGCGGGAUGCGCGGCGGACGGCAACGUUAGGAAGUCCGGAGACGCCGGCGGGGCUCCGGGAAGAGUUAUCUUUUUCUGCUUAACGGCCCGCCCACCCUGAAACGGCUCAACCGGAGGUAGGGUCCAGCGGUCGGAAGAGCGCCGCGACGCCGCUGGCGUCCCGGCACCCCCCCGCCCUCUUGAAAAUCCGGAGGACCGAGUGCCGCCCGCGCCCGAUCGUACUCAUAACCGCAUCAGGUCUCCAAGGUGAACAGCCUCUGGCCCAUGGAACAAUGUAGGCAAGGGAAGUCGGCAAAACAGAUCUGUAACUUCGGGAAAAGGAUUGGCUCUGAGGGCUGGGAACGGGGAUCCCAGCCCCGAACCCGUCGGCUGUCGGCGGACUGCUCUGUUGAAUCUCGGAUUUUGAUGAUGAAACUAAUUGAUUGUGUUUAGAUGUUUAACUACAUUUUGAGUGAUGUAGGUCUACUCGAUUAGAAUUAGACAGUUAAUGCAGGAGGAAUUGACGUUGCGCCGGAGGAGAUCACGUCAGGAUAUUAGACGACAGAAGGCUUCGGACGUCGGGCAUCGGGCUAAGGAGAGCGGAAUUGCACCAAGGAUAUCGGGGUUGCGGAGGUCAACCGCCGAUUGGGCAACAAGCCGCAAGAGAGGACGAUGCGCUGAAGAAUCGGACGAAACGCCAACCAAUGACGUGCCGGGCAACGGAAUGUCGAUUCGCGUUGUAAUAACUGUCUAGAUCGGAGUAGAGUUUUGGCUUGCAUGUGCAGGAUUAACUACGAUAACGAUGAAGACAUAAAGCAAAACAAAGUGCGGAGUCAAGCACGAAGAAUUCGUUGGGAGUUCAAGAGUUCGACGGAAGUUUGAAGGAUCGUUGGGAACGCUGCCGGAACUAGCCGAGAAUGAGUAGGGAGCUUGCCGAAGGGUUUUUUGGAAGCUCGCCGGAAGGUUCGUGGGAAGUUCGCAGAGUUUGCCGAGAAAGAUCAGAGCUUGCCGAAGAAGCUCGUUGGAACUCGCCAAGAUCAAAUCGUGAAGUUUAUAUGGAAAUCAUUGAAAGUUAAUAUGGAAAUCAUCAAAAUACACAUUCUUGCUUCUCAAGCACAUAUAUAUGAUUAUUUAAAUCUAACAUUUUAUUCUAUUAACAUAAAACAUACAAUUUUCAAGAAAAAUAUUUAUUCAAAAGAAAAGAGAAAAUACAUCAUGGAAAACAUCAAGUAAUUUCAAAAUAAUUCAAGAGAGUUGAGUUACUUACCUUGAAGUCGAAGCCCGUCAAAGCCCAAUUCGCCUUUUCACCUUUAGAAGUUCUUGAUUCAUCCUUGGGUGCCUUCCUUUUCUUUGGCCUCUUCCUUCGUUCAAGUUCAUUGUUCAUUUUAGAUUUAUGUUUAAUGAACUUAUUAAGAGUUAGUGUUCGAAGUUCAAGUUCAUCAUUGUCCUCAUCACUUGAGUCAUC
rnacentral:rRNA from 1 species